rnacentral:lncRNA from 1 species
AAAAAAAAAAAAAAAAAAAAAAAAAAAAAAAAAAAGAGGAUGAGGAAGAUGAAGGAACAUAGAGCAAAUCGCCAAGAUCCAACCAUCCAAACAAUGGCGGCUUAUAGAAUUGAUGAAGACGUUACUCCACGUACCAUUCUCUCUCUCUCAACGUGUCCCCUUUCAUAUCUCCUUCUUCCAUGCGACUCCGAUCAUUCUUCUUCUCUAUCUUCUCUCUUUCACGUUCC